rnacentral:rRNA from 1 species
GACAGAGGGUGCAAACGUUGUUCGGAAUUACUGGGCGUAAAGCGCGUGUAGGCGGCAGGGUAUGUCGGAUGUGAAAUCCCGUGGCUCAACCACGGAAGUGCACCCAAAACCACCCAGCUAGAGUCUCGGAGAGGAAGGCGGAAUGCUUGGUGUAGAGGUGAAAUUCGUAGAUAUCAAGCGGAACACCGGUGGCGAAGGCGGCCUUCUGGACGAUGACUGACGCUGAGACGCGAAAGCGUGGGGAGCAAACAGG